AUGGCAGGCCAAAAAGGCAAAAGGAAGUUUGUGGAUCUAGGUGUCACAGAUGUCAUUUGCAAGGCCGUGAGGCGAAAUUUUCCGGAAACAAAAAAAAAUGACAUCGAGUGUGUGAUUAAAGUGUGGCUUCGGCAUGCUGGGGAAAAGCUCCAGAAGCAGCGCUUAAGAACUUCUCGCACUCACCAUGAGGAAUGUCUUCAAAGUGUCGCGUUGUCAAGCCCAUCGGAUGAAGACCUCUGAAGGCACAGGGCAAGAAGUCUCAUCUAGUGAAAACUGCCAAGUUUCAUUCCUGAAAAUAAACAUGUUUUCUGUGCA